rnacentral:rRNA from 1 species
GAUGAACGCUGGCGGCGUGCCUAAUACAUGCAAGUCGAGCGAACAGACGAGGAGCUUGCUCCUCUGACGUUAGCGGCGGACGGGUGUGUAACACGUGGAUAACCUACCUAUAAGACUGGGAUCACUUCGGGACACCGGCGCUAAUACCGGAUAAUAUAUUGAACCGCAUGGUUCAAUAGUGAAAGACGGUUUUGCUGGCACUUAUAGAUGGAUCCGCGCUGCAUUAGCUAGUUGGUAAGGUCACGGCUUACCAAGGCAACUAUGCGUAGCCGACCUGAGAGAGUGAUAGGCCACACGGGAACUGAAACGCGGACCAGACUCCUACGGGAGGCAGCAGUAGGGAACCGUCCGCAAAGGGCGAAAGCCUGACGGAGCGGCGCGGCGUGAGUGAUGAAGGUCUUCGGAUCGGAAAACUCUGUUAUGAGGGAAGAACAAAUGUGUAAGUAACUGUGGACGGCUUGACGGUACCUAAUCAGAAAGCCACGGCUAACUACGUG